rnacentral:misc_RNA from 1 species
GAUGAAGAACGUAGCGAAAUGCGAUAAGUAAUGUGAAUUGCAGAAUUCCGUGAAUCAUCGAAUCUUUGAACGCAUAUUGCGCCCUCUGGUAUUCCAGAGGGCAUGCCUGUUCGAGCGUCAUUUCAACCAUCAAGCCCCAGGCUUGUGUUGGGGACCUGCGGCUGCCGCAGGCCCUGAAAACCAGUGGCGGGCUCGCUGUCACACCGGGCGUAGUAGAUUUUAUCUCGCUCAGGGCGUGCUGCGGGUUCCGGCCGUUAAAAAGCCUUUUUUACCCAAGGUUGACCUCGGAUCAGGUAGGAAGACCCGCUGAACUUAAGCAUAUCAAUAAGCGGAGGA